UGAAGAGUUUGAUCCUGGCUCAGAUUGAACGCUGGCGGCAGGCCUAACACAUGCAAGUCGAGGGGUAACAGGGAGCUUGCUCCGCUGACGACCGGCGCACGGGUGCGCACCGCGUAUGGAACCUACCUUGUACAGGGGAAUAGCCCAGGGAAACUUGGAUUAAUGCCCCGUGGUACCAUGACCCGGCAUCGGGAUAUGGUUAAAGCUUUCGGGCGGUACAAGAUGGCCAUGCGUCCCAUUAGUUUGUUGGUAAGGUAACGGCUUACCAAGACUACGAUGGGUAGGGGCCCUGAGAGGGGGAUCCCCCACACUGGUACUGAGACACGGACCAGACUCCUACGGGAGGCAGCAGUGAGGAAUAUUGGACAAUGGAGGAGACUCUGAUCCAGCCAUGCCGCGUGCAGGAAGAAUGCCCUAUGGGUAGUAAACUGCUUUUAUACGGGAAGAAAAAGAGCUACGUGUAGCUUACUGACGGUACCGUAAGAAUAAGGACCGGCUAACUCCGUGCCAGCAGCCGCGGUAAUACGGAGGGUCCGAGCGUUAUCCGGAAUUAUUGGGUUUAAAGGGUCCGUAGGCGGGCCGAUAAGUCAGGGGUGAAAGUCUGCCGCUCAACGGUAGAACUGCCUUUGAUACUGUCGGUCUUGAGUUAUAGUGAAGUUGCCGGAAUAUGUAGUGUAGCGGUGAAAUGCAUAGAUAUUACAUAGAAUACCGAUUGCGAAGGCAGGUUACUAACCAUAUACUGACGCUGAUGGACGAAAGCGUGGGGAGCGAACAGGAUUAGAUACCCUGGUAGUCCAUGCUGUCAAAGAUGAAUGCUAAUAUUGGGAGUUUUUCUGGUAUACAGCUAACGCGUUAAGCAUUCCGCCUGGGGAGUACGAUCGCAAGAUUGGAACUCAAAGGAAUUGACGGGGGUCUACACAAGUGGUGGAGCAUGUGGUUUAAUGCGAUAAUACGCGCGAAAUCUUACCAGUUCUUGCAUAUAGUAAAAAAUUUAAUGUUAUGUUAUUUUCGUUACAGCAAUAAAAUAUUGUAAUAACAUUACUAUACAGGUGUUGCAUGGCUGUCGUCAGCUCGUGCCGUGAGGUGUCAGGUUAAGUCCUAUAACGAGCGCAACCCCUACCGUUAGUUGCCAGCAUGUCAUGAUGGGGACUCUAACGGGACUGCCGGUGCAAACCGUGAGGAAGGUGGGGAUGACGUCAAAUCAUCACGGCCCUUACGUCCUGGGCCACACACGUGCUACAAUGG
rnacentral:rRNA from 1 species